CCUACGGGAGGCAGCAGUGGGGAAUCUUGCGCAAUGGGCGAAAGCCUGACGCAGCAACGCCGCGUGCGGGAAGAAGGCUUUCGGGCUGUAAACCGCUUUCAGCAGGAACGAAAAUGACGGUACCUGCAGAAGAAGGAGCGGCCAACUAUGUGCCAGCAGCCGCGGUGAUACAUAGGCUUCAAGCGUUGUCCGGAUUUAUUGGGCGUAAAGAGUUCGUAGGCGGUCGAGUAAGUCGGGUGUGAAAAUUCUGGGCUCAACCCAGAGACGCCACCCGAUACUGCUUGACUUGAGUUCGAUAGGGGAGUGGGGAAUUCCUAGUGUAGCGGUGAAAUGCGCAGAUAUUAGGAGGAACACCGGUGGCGAAGGCGCCACUCUGGAUCGAUACUGACGCUGAGGAACGAAAGCAUGGGUAGCAAACAGGAUUAGAUACCCUGGUAGUCCAUGCCGUAAACGGUGGGCACUAGGUGUGGGUUUCUAUUAACGAAAUCCGCGCCGUCGCUAACGCAUUAAGUGCCCCGCCUGGGGAGUACGGUCGCAAGACUAAAAACUCAAAAGGAAUUAGACGGCUGAGAGNGCGAGACGACACAGGAGAG
rnacentral:rRNA from 1 species